rnacentral:siRNA from 1 species
UAAGAUUGUGCCAUGUGUCAAGU